rnacentral:rRNA from 1 species
UGGGGAAUUUUGGACAAUGGGGGAAACCCUGAUCCAGCCAUCCCGCGUGUGCGAUGAAGGCCUUCGGGUUGUAAAGCACUUUUGGCAGGAAAGAAACGUCAUGGGUUAAUACCCCGUGAAACUGACGGUACCUGCAGAAUAAGCACCGGCUAACUACGUGCCAGCAGCCGCGGUAAUACGUAGGGUGCAAGCGUUAAUCGGAAUUACUGGGCGUAAAGCGUGCGCAGGCGGUUCGGAAAGAAAGAUGUGAAAUCCCAGAGCUCAACUUUGGAACUGCAUUUUUAACUACCGGGCUGGAGUGUGUCAGCGGGAGGUGGAAUUCCGCGUGUAGCAGUGAAAUGCGUAGAUAUGCGGAGGAACACCGAUGGCGAAGGCAGCCUCCUGGGAUAACACUGACGCUAAUGCACGAAAGCGUGGGGAGCAAACAGG